UUUAGGUUUGCUCUUCUUAUUGGAUAGUUCGGACGGUGUACUGUAAGAAGUGAAAACCCUAAUCUAUCAUCACUCUUUUCAUUUUACUCCCCCACACAAGGAGAGUGAUUGGUUGAAAGAGAAGUGAUUGGUUGAAAGAGAAUCGGGAGAGAGGGGAUCUGAGCACACUUUGGCUGCCCCCUUAGUGGCGAUGGGUGGUGGUUUCUAUCCGGAUGGUGAUGAUGACGAACGGUGGUGGUGGUGGUUCGAGCAAGCGGUGAUUGGAAUUGGAGGUCGGAGUGGCGGUGGUUGCGGGUGGAGUUUGCGGCGGUGGUGUUUGAGCAUGGACGGGGCGAACGGUGGUGUUCAAAUCGGAUGUGGGGGUCAUUGCCCUAAUAAUCCUACGCAUGAUCUUAGAUUCGUUGUUCACAUAUCUGUUUCCUCAUUUUGUUAUAAAUUUUGAUGCCCUAAUUAUUUGUGAUUAUGCGAUUGAAUGAUUUGUUAUUCCUGUUUUGAUUAGGGUUAAUGAAGUAUGCAUUACUGCAGGAACGUGCGUUUUUAAGUUCAACGUGUGAAGUAUUUGGGACGAGAUAUUCAUCUUCAAGCAGUGGCUAAUAUGAUAGAUGGCUUCUCGGCAAGCAACUUGGAGGUCUUUGUUAUCUUUUCUCUCUUGAGCUACACCUUUUUUUAAUAUGUUCAGUUUAUUUUGUUGACAUGUGUGUUUUUUAAGUAACAAUCUGUUGUGGAAUUUUCUUUUCCUCUGACAGUCACUACUGAUUGGGAACUUUCUAAUUUUGAAUUUGUUAUAUGAAUCAUCUUCUCUAGAUUUAGCAUCCUUUGCUAUUUGAUUCGUAGCCAAAACACGAUAUAGUUUUAACCUAGGUUACCAUUAAUAUGUUUAUGCAUUGAACUGGUUACUGAUAUGAUGAAUGUCAGGUCAUCAAUAUGUAUUUGUUGAAUGAAAUCAAAUCAGCAAGUAGAAUUUGGACUUGAAUUAUCAAUAAUCUUUUAGUUAUGCUAGCUACACAGCAAAAAGUUCUUAAUUCCAAAUGUACAGUUAUAAGAAAAUAGGAGCCACAUCCCCUCAUCUCCACAUUUAAUGGCUUCUAUGUACAAUUAGGUUAUAGUCUUACAAGUUUACAUGUGACUGUGCUCUAGGAGUUUUGUCCAUAAGUCUCAUUUCUAAGUGAUGAUCUCAAGUAACUCUCCUUAAAAGUUUGGUGUUUGUAGAGAUUGAACCACAUUGGAUUACUUGGGAAAAUAACACAUUGCACAAACGUCUUAAUGUCGCAUGCCAUGUAAUCGCAAAGUGAACUUUGCCAGCCAAGCCAGGUAAAUUGAUGAUUUAAGCAAACAAAUAAAGCACGGUCGGAAAAGUGAACUAAAAAGUAUUAUCCAGUACUAUAAAUUACAUAUAAAAACGAAAAAAAAAACUCCAGGUCUGCCCUUGCUUCAAGAUGCACUAUUUUGAGUCUAUAGUGGUUAGUUUUAGCAUGAGAAUUCAGCAUUUGUUCCUUAAAUUAACCAUUUUUACAUUCUUCUUUUAUUUGCAAAAUCGACAAUAUUAAUCUUAUAUUUUGGAUUGCAGACAUCCCUGAAACAUGUAUAGGAUAUUAGGAUUGUUACAAUUUAGGUUGUAUUACCAUACUAUUUUUUUAACAGAAUGAUAAAUAUGAUGCUCACUUCUGUUUUUAACUAUUUAUGGUAUGUAAUUAAAUCUCUUAUGUUGUUAUAUGGUCGAAACGAUGACUGAGACACGGUGAAUUUUGUCAAGAGACGUAAGAAUCUUCUCUAUCAACGGCACUUCUAACGAACAACUCAAACCUUACACAUCGAGGGUUUUGAUAGUAUGAGGUUACAAUGCGGGCGAGGCGGAGGAGGGAUCUGCAUUGACAAUGGAAAUCGAUUCUGAACUUCCGAAGACGUGCAAUGUUGACAAUGACUAUGUGUUUAUAUACGUAUGUUGCUUAUUGUUAUAUUUUGACCUGUUUCUUCAUUUGAGCUCUCUAUAUUUUGACCCUUUUAAGCACGUAUUUGGCGUACCUUGACAUUUAAUUCUUACAACAUAUUUGACAUCCGUUGUGACCAGAAUUUUGCUUGGUUAGUUGUUUGGGGUUGAGCUGGCACAGGUUUGUUGACAUUGUAAUUUUGUUUAUAGAAUGCUUUGUGUUUUGUUG